rnacentral:rRNA from 1 species
UGGGGAAUAUUGCACAAUGGGGGAAACCCUGAUGCAGCGACGCCGCGUGAGUGAAGAAGUAUUUCGGUAUGUAAAGCUCUAUCAGCAGGGAAGAAGAUGACGGUACCUGACUAAGAAGCCCCGGCUAACUACGUGCCAGCAGCCGCGGUAAUACGUAGGGGGCAAGCGUUAUCCGGAUUUACUGGGUGUAAAGGGAGCGUAGACGGCUGUGCAAGUCUGAAGUGAAAGGCAUGGGCUUAACCCGUGGACUGCUUUGGAAACUGUAAAGCUGGAGUGCAGGAGAGGUAAGUGGAAUUCCUAGUGUAGCGGUGAAAUGCGUAGAUAUUAGGAGGAACACCAGUGGCGAAGGCGGCUUACUGGACUGUAACUGACGUUGAGGCUCGAAAGCGUGGGGAGCAAACAGG